UCUUUUUUAACUCUUAAAUGUUUUUUUGUUUGUUUCUGAAAACACAGAGAUUUAAUUCAAAGGGCAACUGGAACAAUCACUUCAUAAUAAAACAGUUAUUACAUGUGCACUCCUUAUCCUUAAUAUACUGCCUUGCUUCGGACGAGGAAUCAAAAAAGGAACACCAAGGAAAGAUGGGAAACCAAGAGAAAAUUGUACAUUAGCUUAUUCAUAAGCUGAUUCACUUUCGAGGUCCUCAGGCAUCGUGGUAUACUCCUCUUUCAUAAUCUAAAGAAUCCUCAGCGACACUUUUCAACACACUACAGAAAACAAUGUUUAAGGGGUUUCAGAAAUACC